rnacentral:rRNA from 1 species
AUUGAACGCUGGCGGCAGGCCUAACACAUGCAAGUCGAACGGCAGCGGGGGAUAGCUUGCUAUCCUGCCGGCGAGUGGCGGACGGGUGAGUAAUGCAUGGGGAGCUGCCCAGUCGAGGGGGAUAACAACUGGAAACGGUUGCUAAUACCGCAUACGCCCUAAGGGGGAAAGGUGGGGAACUUCGGUCCUACCGCGAUUGGAUGCGCCCAUGUGGGAUUAGCUAGUUGGUGAGGUAACGGCUCACCAAGGCGACGAUCUCUAGCUGGUCUGAGAGGAUGACCAGCCACACUGGAACUGAGACACGGUCCAGACUCCUACGGGAGGCAGCAGUGGGGAAUAUUGCACAAUGGGGGAAACCCUGAUGCAGCCAUGCCGCGUGUGUGAAGAAGGCCUUCGGGUUGUAAAGCACUUUCAGUCGGGAGGAAGGGGUGAUGGCUAAUAUCCAUCAUCAUUGACGUUACUGACAGAAGAAGCACCGGCUAACUCCGUGCCAGCAGCCGCGGUAA